UUGGGCACCUUGGUAGCACUCUUUCCACCUCUACUACUUCGGCAUGAUGUCCCUUUGAGCUCUCCUCGUUCUCAGCCGUUUAGGAAGAGCCUGGUGCCCACACGCCUGUGUCGUGUCACUGAUAUAGCCCACCAAGACACCUACCAGUGUUGUGAGAUUCCCCUCUUUCUGACUUCUCAUGGAAAGAAUUUAUCACCAAGACCGCUGGAAAGGUUCUGCUUCAGGGGUGCUUCCUAUGGUCAUCUUAUUUUCUCCAGCAAUAGAUCAUGUGUCGUUUUUGUGUUCACGGGUGCUAGCGUCUCAACCCCAAAACUACCGGUCUUCAAAGACAUCGAGCUCUUGUAUGAUGCACUCACUGCUCCUCUAGCAUCAUUGAACUCACAUCUCAUUGUGGAUACUGGAUCACGGAAUCUAUUUUGGCAUGUUGGUAGCUACUCCUGGGUGGGAUGUUCUCCUGAUGAUGCACCAAUUAAGCAAAUUGUGAUCCUCAAAGGGCGGGUCUAUGGCAUGGAUUCCGAUCGCAGGAUCUUCAAAGUGCACUUGACACCCAAGAUAAACGUACAAGAACUGCUAGUUAUGGGGUCGAGCAUGAUCAGUAAAUGGCAACUUUCCAAGACAUGGCUGGUGGCGUGUAGCGAUAUGCUACUCUUGGUCGGCUUUCAGGGACCUUUGGCAGUAUCAGGGGUAAUCUUCAAAGUCUUCCUCCUCGACCUAUCAACUGAACCUGCAUUAUGGCUGAAGGUGGAGAAGGUAGAGAAUUGGGCGAUUUUCAUCAGCACCGACAAGAGAAGUCAAGCAUUGUCUUGCAUGAACCCAGAGAUAUGGGGAGGGAGGAGCAACUGCAUAUACUGCUAUAACCAUGAGUCUAAACAUUGGAUUGCAUUAGAGGUUGGCAAGCCGUUGGAGGGAGAUCAUUCCAAACUUAGUGAAAACGUCUUUAUUUUCAUGGGUCGUGACAACAAGGUGCAACCUAUGUGGAUUGUCCCCAGCAUGUACUCUUUACGUCGGUGA
rnacentral:rRNA from 1 species